GGAAACAUAGUUCAAGGGCAGAACAAUCGCCUGUUAAGCGAUGGAUGAAUGUUCGAGUCAUUCUGUUUCCG
rnacentral:tRNA from 1 species